AGGUUAAGUUAACAAGGGCGCAUGGUGAAUGCCUUGGCACUAGGAGCCGAUGAAGGACGGGACUAACACCGAUAUGGCUUCGGGGAGCUGUACGUAAGCUAUGAUCCGGAGAUUUCCGAAUGGGGCAACCCAGCAGUUUUAAUCAACUGUUACCACUAGAUGAAUUCAUAGUCUAGUUGGAGGUAAACGCUGUGAACUGAAACAUCUCAUUAGCAGCAGGAAUAUAAAGAAAUUUCGAUUCCCUAAGUAGCGGCGAGCGAACGGGGAACAGCCCAAACCAAAGUGCUUGCACUUUGGGGUUGUAGGACUGAACAUUUGAGUUACCAAAGAACUUGAUAGUCGAAGGAUUUGGGAAAAUCCGCCAUAGAUGGUGAUAGCCCAGUAGAUUAAAUCAAAUUCUCUCAGUUCAGGAUCCUGAGUACGGCGGAACACGUGAAAUUCCGUCGGAAUCCGGGAGGACCAUCUCCCAAGGCUAAAUACUACCUAGUGACCGAUAGUGAACCAGUACCGUGAGGGAAAGGUGAAAAGCACCCCGGGAGGGGAGUGAAAUAGUUCCUGAAACCAUGUGCCUACAAUAAGUCAGAGCGCGUUAAUGCGUGAUGGCGUGCCUUUUGUAGAAUGAACCGGCGAGUUAUGAUCCCGUGCAAGGUUAAGACUAAAAAGUCGGAGCCGUAGCGAAAGCGAGUCUGAAAUGGGCGUUUUGAGUACGAGGUUAUAGACCCGAAACCAGGUGACCUAUCCAUGUCCAGGUUGAAGGUGCGGUAAAACGCACUGGAGGACCGAACCCGUGUAAGUUGAAAAUUGCUGGGAUGAGGUGUGGAUAGCGGUGAAAUUCCAAACGAACUUGGAGAUAGCUGGUUCUCUCCGAAAUAGCUUUAGGGCUAGCCUCGGAAUUAGGAUCAUGGAGGUAGAGCACUAUUUGGACUAGGGGCCCGUCUUGGGUUACUGAAUUCAGAUAAACUCCGAAUGCCAUUGAUUCAUAUCCGGGAGUCAGACGAUGAGUGAUAAGAUCCACCGUCGAAAGGGGAACAGCCCAGACCAUCAGUUAAGGUCCCUAAAUGUAUGCUAAGUGGAAAAGGAUGUGGAGUUGCAUAGACAACUAGGAUGUUGGCUCAGAAGCAGCCACCAUUUAAAGAGUGCGUAAUAGCUCACUAGUCGAGUGAUCCUGCGCCGAAAAUGUACCGGGGCUAAGCAUACUACCGAAACCAUGGAUGCGACCAUUAGGUCGCGUGAUAGGAGAGCGUUCUAAGGGCGGUGAAGCAAGAUCGUGAGGACUUGUGGAGCGCUUAGAAGUGAGAAUGCCGGUAUGAGUAGCGAAAGAUAGGUGAGAAUCCUAUCCACCGAAUGACUAAGGUUUCCUGGGAAGGCUCGUCCUCCCAGGGUUAGUCGGGACCUAAGUCGAGGCCGAGAGGCGUAGACGAUGGAUAACAGGUUGAGAUUCCUGUACUAGUUAAGUGCGUUUGAGCAAUGGAGGGACGCAGGAGGCUAAGAUGUGCAUUCUGUUGGAUUAGAAUGUCCAAGCAGUAAGUCUUGUGAAGAGUCAAAUGCUUUUCACUUUAAGGACAAGCUGUGAUGGGGAGCGAAAUUUAGUAGCAGAAGCGUCUGAUGUCACACUGCCGAGAAAAGCUCUAGUGAGUACUUAACUACCCGUACCGCAAACCGACACAGGUAGUCGAGGAGAGAAUCCUAAGGUGAGCGAGUGAACUCUCGUUAAGGAACUCGGCAAAAUGACCCCGUAACUUCGGGAGAAGGGGUGCUGAUCGCAAGAUCAGCCGCAGUGAAUAGGCCCAGGCGACUGUUUAUCAAAAACACAGGUCUCUGCAAAAUCGUAAGAUGACGUAUAGGGGCUGACGCCUGCCCGGUGCUGGAAGGUUAAAAGGAUGGGUUUAGCUCUCGGCGAAGCUCAGAAUUGGAAGCCCCAGUAAACGGCGGCCGUAACUAUAACGGUCCUAAGGUAGCGAAAUUCCUUGUCGGGUAAGUUCCGACCCGCACGAAAGGCGUAACGAUCUGGGCACUGUCUCAACGAGAGACUCGGUGAAAUUAUAUUGUCCGUGAAGAUGCGGACUACCCGCGACAGGACGGAAAGACCCCAUGGAGCUUUACUGUAGCUUGAUAUUGAGUGUUUGUACAGCUUGUACAGGAUAGGUAGGAGCCAUAGAAACCGGAACGCUAGUUUCGGUGGAGGCGUUGGUGGGAUACUACCCUCGCUGUAUGACCACUCUAACCCGCACCACUAAUCGUGGUGGGAGACAGUGUCAGGUGGGCAGUUUGACUGGGGCGGUCGCCUCCUAAAAAGUAACGGAGAGCGCGCCCAAAGGUUCCCUCAGAAUGGUUGGAAAUCAUUCGCAGAGUGUAAAGGCACAAGGGAGCUUGACUGCGAGACAGACAGGUCGAGCAGGGACGAAAGUCGGGCUUAGUGAUCCGGUGGUACCGUAUGGAAGGGCCAUCGCUCAACGGAUAAAAGCUACCCUGGGGAUAACAGGCUUAUCUCCCCCAAGAGUCCACAUCGACGGGGAGGUUUGGCACCUCGAUGUCGGCUCAUCGCAUCCUGGGGCUGUAGUCGGUCCCAAGGGUUGGGCUGUUCGCCCAUUAAAGCGGUACGCGAGCUGGGUUCAGAACGUCGUGAGACAGUUCGGUCCCUAUCCGUCGCGGGCGUAGGAAAUUUGAGAGGACCUGUCCUUAGUACGAGAGGACCGGGAUGGACAUACCUCUGGUGUACCAGUUGUGCCGCCAGGCGCAUCGCUGGGUAGCUACGUAUGGAUGUGAUAAACGCUGAAAGCAUCUAAGUGUGAAACACACCUCGAGAUGAGAUUUCCCAUUCCUUUAUGGAAGUAAGACCCCUGAAAGAUGAUCAGGUAGAUAGGUUAGAAGUGGCAGUGCGGUGACGCAUGAAGCGGACUAAUACUAAUCGGUCGAGGACUUAACCAAG
rnacentral:rRNA from 1 species